GGCUGGUCCGAUGGCAGUGGGUUAACAGAACUCACUACCGUUAGUGUCACUGAAGUUGGUAUAGGAGCCCCCACUGCUAAACUGGGCUGGCUUCCA
ensembl:misc_RNA Y_RNA Y RNA